UCAAAUACUUUUUUAUGGACUGAAGUCUGGAUUUUGGUGUGGUGGAGCAGCAGUGGUGCUGGGCUGAAGGGGGUUGGGGUAUCAGUUAAUUUUUGGAUAAUCUUACAGAUUUGUUUUCACAAUGGUCAUAUCCGGGCACAGCUCCACCUCCAGCAGUCCUCAUCAAUGGAUGGGAUGAUGGUGUGUGUUAAUAACUUAACUCCUUAAAGUAAGAAGGUGCCUGGGACCUCCUCACACCACAACUUAGUUGCAAAUAAGUUAUAGUGUUGAUAAUAUGUUGAUAAAUCCUAUCCAG